AUUUAGUUAUUUCAGUCUUCUCUCUUUUUUUAAGUUAAUCAGCUAAGGGUUGUCAAUUUUAUUGAUCCUUUCAAAAAGCUACUCUUAGUUUUGUUGAUUUUCUCCUACUGUUUUUCUGUUCUCUAAUUUCUCUCUGCUCUAAUCUUUAUUAUCUUCUGCUAGCUUUGGAUUUAGUUUGUUCAUCUUUUUCUAGUUUCCUAAGAUGUAAAGUUAGGUUGUUGAUUUGAGAUCUUCUUUUUUAAUGUACACAUUUAUAGCUAUAAACUUCUCUUAGUGCUGCUUUUGUUGCAUCUCAUAAGUUUUGAAAUAUUGUUUCCAUUCUAAUUUGUCUCAAGGUAUUUCCCAAUUUUCUUUGUGACUUCUUCUUUGACCUAUUGGUCAAAAGUAGUAUGUUGUUUAAUUUCUACAUAUUUGUAGAUUUUUCCGUAUUCUUUGUGCUAUUGCUUUCCAGUUUAAUCCAUUGUGAUGUCCAUUUUCUUGAAUUUGUUAAGACUUGUUUUGUGGUCUAACACAUGGUUUAUCUGGAGACCAUUUUAUGCGCCCUAGAAAAAAAUGUAUAUUCUACUGUUGUUAGGGUGGGGUGCUUUGUAUAUAUCUUUUAGGUCCAAUUGAUCUACCGUGUUGUUUAAUUUCUUUAUUUCCUUAUUGAUCUUCUGCUGGUUGUUCUCUCCAUUUUUUUUUAAGUGGGGUAUUGAAGUCUCCUACUAUUAUGUGGCUAUCUAAUUCUAUCUCCAAUUCUGUCAAAGUUUACUUCAUAUAUUUAAGUGCUCUGAGGUUUGGUGCAUAAAUAUUAAUAAUUGUUAUAUUUUCUUAGAGCAUUGACUUCUCCAUCACUAUAUAAUGUCCUUCUUUUCCUAUCCCUUUUGCUGGUACUCCCUUUUUGGUUUUGGUUUUGUUUUGUUUUGAGAUGGAGUCUCGCUCUGUUGACUAGGCUGGGGUGCAGUGGCACGAUCUUGGCUCACUGCAACCUCUGCCUCCUGGGUUCAAGCAAUUCUCAUGCCUCAGCCUCCAAAGUAGCUGGGACUACAGGUGUCUGCCACCAUGCCUGGCUAAUUUUUUAAUAUUUUUAGUAAAGAUGGGGUUUUGCCAUGUUGGCCAGGCUGGUCUCGAACUCCUGACUUCAGGUGAUCGGCCUGCCUUGUCCUCCCAAUGGCUGGGGUUAUAGGCGUAAGCCACCGCACCCAGCCCCCUUCUUAGUUUUACAAUAACUUUGGCGCACCCAGCCCCCUUCUUAGUUUUACAAUAACUUUGGUGCUGUAGCUUCUCAACUGAACUUUAGCAUCCCCACAGAGGUAUUCUGGUCGGUAUACUGCUAUUAACUUGGUGACUCUGUGGGAGAAGGAGGGCCUGUAGCUUCUUAGUCCACUAUCUUGCUGACUGGUCCUCCGCUUUGAAGGACUCAUGAUUAGGUUGGGUCCACUUGGAUAAUCCAGGUUAAUCUCCCCAUUUAAAAGUUCUUAACCUUAAUCAUGUCUGCAAGUCCUCUUUGCCAUGGAAGGCAAAUAUUUACCAUUUUUGAGGAUUGGAACAUGGACAUUUUGAGGGGACCCUUACUGUCUACUAUACAUGGUUUCUCCAAAGGAUUUUCACAUAUAUUAACUCAUUUAAUAUCAACAAUGUGGUGGAAUAGAAAUUACAGUACUUUUCCUUACAGGAAGACUAAUAGAUUUGUUUUUUGCCCCAGGAUUAUACUAGUAUUAGGGCCUUUACAAAUGGAUCUCAUCAUACCUCUCUAGCUUCAUUUCACACAACUCCCUCCACCUAAUUUCUAGUCGCAGUCACUCCUCACACGUCAUGCCCCUUCACAAUUCAGUCACCAAGCAGUCAGGUAGAGAGGUCUCACUGAACUUUGUCAUAUCCUCUAUUAUCAUACAUAUACACUAGUGUAUAGUGUUUUGCUACACAUUAGCCACACAUCAUAUGUGUACACUGCUAACAAAUGGGGUUUUAGGAUAGAAAUGACUCUAAUUGCCUAGUUUUGCUUGAGAAGUGGUAUAACAGACAACGGGAAACUGAACUGAGGGUGAGACAUACAUCUCUCUAUGUAGAACUUAUAAAAAGAAUGGUUUAGACACAAGUCUACAAGGUGUUGCACAACUUAUAGACUCCUUAGCCAGGUAAGGAUCAUAAAAUGGAAUCUGAGAGGAAAAAGCUUUUGUAAGAGUAGGGAAGAGUUUCUUUAGAGGGAGUGGUAGUCAGGCUGUAAAUCUCCAACCUGGGGAGGAGUGGGAGAUUGCCGCCUUCCAACAUCAGGCCUAGUGACGGGGCAUUAAGUGUACCUUUGAAGAGUGUUUCCUUUAGUUGGAGACAGAGAUGACUGGUGCCUGACUCAUGCCUGAGAAAAUUAAAUGGACUGUUACCCUGGGGGCUGACUCAUGGCCAGGGAUUCCAGAAAACACAAAAAUGCUUGCCUCUCUGAUGGUGAACCAGAAAGGUGCUGCUACACUGAGAUCGACUAGCACUCUCAGGGACUGUCAAAGCAAGGGAUUUUUCCCAUGGAGCAUGUGGAUGACCCGGUGAAACCCUAUCAUGAGGUUGUCUUAAAUCUUGGCCAAGAUCACUGCCGGAGAGGUGUUUGCUUUAUACUCUGCAUAUGAAUCCCUUGUUGGACCUACAUGCUGCAGAUAUCUUCUACUACUCUGGAAGUAACUUUUUCACUCUUAAUAGAGUCUUGCUUUAGAAAAAACAAAAACUUCAGUCAGAGGGCAAUUAGAGGGGCUGCUGAAUGGGAAUAGUUCAAUUCUCUCAAUUCUCCUGUCCCAUUAGCACAAUUACCCACUGGAUUUUUUUUUUGUCUUUUGGAAAAUCUCAGUGCUGGCUGAACGAGCUAUAGUUUUGCUAUUACAACACAAAUAAUAAUUCCCCAACUGCUCAGUAUUUUCUUCUAUCUUUAGUUAAUCUGAGUGUCUAUCACCUAUGCUUUCUUACUUAACCUUUUUGAGCUCAGUUUUGUUAUUGGUACAAAAAUGAAUAAUGUACUUACCUCAUAUGGUUGUUGUGAGAAUCAAGUAAGUUAAUGUAUGAAAAGUGUUUAAAACAGUACCCGGCACAGCAUAAACUACUACUAUUAUAUUCCAAAAUGCUUUUCCUUUGGAAGACUACAUAGACUGUGCAGUUUUCUGUGUCCUCCUUCAAGAUUCAUUUCUUAGAAAUUAAAAACAGGACACCAUUUUUUAAUCUAAAUGGCAAAGAUUAAGGAAGCAAUAAUAUUCAGUGCUGCUGAAGCUGCAGUGAGACCAGUACGCUCAUACACUGAGUUAUUAGAAACUGCUGAAAUCUUUCCAAAGAGCAAUUAAGUAAUGCUUAACAAAAGCCUUUGAUGCAACAAUUACACAAGGUAGUCCAAGACUUUUCCAUAAACCAGUCAUCACUAUGCUAUUUAUUAUAACACAUAUAGAAUAAAAAACUAAAUGCCCUCAAAUAACAAAUGAAAGUAUGGUGAUCUCUAAGCUGGAUUGCCCAGCCAUUAGAAAUAUGUUCAAAUAAUUUUUAAUGGAAAGAGAAAAUUCUUACACUCUGGAAAAGCUUCUCAGAGGAAGUGUUAUUGAGCUGGUUUUUUAAGGAUCAGUAAGGGAGUAGAAAAGAAUUCCAGCCAUAAUGGAUGGGUAUAUAAAGGAAAGGAAGCAUUCAAGAGUUGGAUAAGAUUAUACUCACCCAUAUGAGAUAGUAUAUGUAUUUUUUAGCUUCAAGUCUGGGCAAUGAGGUAAAAAGGUUCCUCAAGGUUCUUUAUUCUAGAAUUCUAUGACAAUGUGUUGAGAAUCUUGUCAUGCAAUAAGGUGUUUGCCACGUAUUAUUCCAAAUGCAAAUAGCUAAACAAGAUCAGAAGAAUUUGAAAAAUUUGCCAAAACCCCAGUCUCAUACCAGAUUCGCUACAUGGGCAAGAAGAUAUGUGAUACUUACAUUAAUUCCUACAAGAAUCUGAAAGUGAAGGUGAUACAAACAGGAAGCAGGGAAAUACUAGGUAGAAAAGGGUGUGGUCCCUGGUGAGGGCUCCACCCUCAAGCUUGGACCAGAGGCCUUAAAUGAGAACUUCACAUCCCUGUUUUCCCACCCAAAUGUUGCCUUUUCCAAAACCACCCUGGCCUGUCCCACCCCCUACCCUGUACCCAUAAAACCCCCAAGCUCCACUGGCAGGAGAGCAGAGCGGAGCGGCAGAGGAGGAGAGAAGAGAAGCAGCUGGAGAAAAGCAGCUUGACUUCAGAGGGAUGGCUUGAUGGCAGGACUUCAGAGAAGAGUUUGGCCAGGCAUGGCCAAACUCCAGGGGAAGAUUAUCUGCUCACUCCAUCCCUCUCCAGCUCCCCUUCCCACUGAGAGCCACUUCCAUCUCUCAAUAAAAUUAUCCGCAUACACCACCCUUCAACUGGUUCUUGUGACCUGAUUCUUCCUGGAUGACAGACAAGAACUUGAGUACCAAGAGGGAAGAGUAUAAAAGGCUGUGACCCUCACCCUCCACUGAGGUGGUGAACACUUAGCCAUCUGCGAACAGCAAACGCUAAAAGAGCACUGAUUGUAACACAUGCCCUCUGGGGCUCUGGGGGUCACAGACACCCCCUCCCGGAAGGCAGAGCUAAAAGAGCAUUGUAACAUGCUUGGACUCUGCCGCGAGGCCUGCUCAAAGCUUGAUCCUACCAGAGAGGAGUGACCAGAUGGUUCCAGCAUUUGUUCGCCCCGGCUCCUGCACCUGCUCACCUGUGUGCUUCCGCUUCUUGAGGGGUUCAGAGCUUUGGGCUGAGUAAAUGAGCUACCCCUUCACAAGUCCUGUGAAGAGGUCAAGGGAAAUAUCCCGUCUUAAAGGUAUCAAAAAAUUCCCUUGAGUAUCCACUGUUACUUUUAUGUUAUACUAAAAUUCCAUUUUACUCUUUCAGUUCAUUGUUAAUAAAGUAGUUUAUAAAGAGAAGAAAUAAGAUUUGAAAUAAUGAGGAGGGGGUGGAAGGGAAAGAAGGGUGAUUCCCAGAGAUUAUUUUGUUUACUUUGAGCAUGUUUUUGAUUCAUAGAAAAAACAAAUUUGAUUACAGACUUUAGAAAAAACCUAAAAUUAGUUUUGUAUGUGUAUUUUUAAUAGCAUUAAAUACAUCUGUAAUUAUCUCAGAUAACAAGAAUAUUUUGGUGUACAUCCUUCUAAUCUUUCUUCCUAGAUUUUUAUUUUAUUUUAUUUCUGAGAUGGAGUCUUACUCUGUUGCCCAGACUGGAGUACAGUGGUGCAAUCUCAACUCACUGCAACCUUUGCCUCCUGGGUUCAAGUGAUUCUCGUGCCUCAGCCAGCCAACUGAGUAGCUGGGACUACAGGCAUGUACCACUACACCCGGCUAAUUUUUGUAUUUUUUAGUAGAGAAGGGUUUCACCAUGUUGGCCAGACUGGUCUCGAACUCUUGACCUCAAGUGAUCUGCCUGCCCCGGACUUCCAAAGUGCUAGGAUUACAGGCAUGAGCCACCGUGCCCGGCCUUCUUCCUAGAUUUUUCUAGGAUGUAAGCACCUGACUUGAAGCAGCAAAAAGACAAUACUAAUUAUAACAAUUUCAUUGAGUUUAAAAUGUGUUAAAACACACUUAAACAAAUUAUGUACAAAAUAUUGCAAAUUUAUUUAUUUUUAUUUUUUAAAGAUAGGGUCUCACUCUGCUGCCCAGAUUGGAGUACAGGGGUACAAUCAUAGUUCACUGCUGCCUUGAACUCCUGGGCUUAAGCAAUCCUCUUGCCUUAGCCUCCUGGGUAGCUGGGACUACAAGCACACACCACUACACCUGGUUAAUUUUAAAUUUUUUUGUAGUGAUGGGGGUCUUACUAUGUUGACCAGGCUGGUCUCAAACUACUGGCCUCAUGCAAUCCUCCUGCUUCAACCACCUAAAGUGCUGGGAUUAUAGGCAUAAGCCACUGUGCCUGGCCCAUAUCCCAAAUUUAUAUCAGUAAUUAGCUUGGGGAAGAUAGGAGGAGCUCAGAGUUGCUGAGGAGAUAGUGGGGGCAAAAGAAUACUGGGCGUGGUGGUGCACGCCUGUAGUCCCAGCUACUCAGGAAGCUGAGGCAGGGGAAUCACUUGAACCCAGGAGGCGGAAGCUGCAGUGAGCCGAGGUUGUACCACUGCACUCCAGCCUGGCCACAGAGCGAGAUUCCUUCUAAAAAAAAUAAAAAAAUUUUAGCUUUAUGUCUAAUGUUGUAAUUUUUAUUUAUUUUUAUUAUUACUUUUUAAAUUGAGACAGAGUUUCUGUCACCCAGGUUGGAGUGCAGUGGCGCAAUUAUGGCUCCCUGUAGCCUCCAACUCCCAUGCUCAAACAAUCCUCCCACCUCAGCUUCCUGAGUGGCUGGGACUACAGGUGUACACACCACAUUUGGCUAAUUUUUUAUUUUUUGUAGAGACGGGGUCUUGCUGUGCUGCCCAGGCUGGUCUCAAACUCCUGGCCUUAGGUGAUUCUCCCACCUUGGCUUCCCAAAGUGCUGGGAUCAUAAACAUGAGCUACCACAUCUGGCCUAAUGUUGUAAUUUUUAAAAAGGAAUAGUCAGUGUAUUAUUUAAUAUUAAUAAAAAUUUAAAAAUCCAAACUUAAAAAAAGAGUUGCCAUAUUUAUAAAAUAAAUUUUUGGCUGGGUGUGGUGGCUUGCACCUGUAAUCUCACACUUUGGAAGGCUGAGGUGAGAAGAUCACUUGCGCUCAGGAGUUCAAACCCAUUAUGGACAACAUAGGACAUAGUCUGGAUUCAUCUCUGCAAAAAAUUAAAAUAAAAAAAAAAAGUAGCCGGGUGUAGUAGUGCAAGUCUGUAGUCCCAGCUACUUGGGGGCUGAGGCGGG
rnacentral:lncRNA from 10 species